GAUGAACGCUAGCUACAGGCUUAACACAUGCAAGUCGAGGGGAAACGAUAUUGGAAGCUUGCUUCUGAUAGGCGUCGACCGGCGCACGGGUGAGUAACGCGUAUCCAACCUGCCCAUCACUUGGGGAUAACCUUGCGAAAGUAAGACUAAUACCCAAUGACGUCUCUAGAAGACAUCUGAAAGAGAUUAAAGAUUUAUCGGUGAUGGAUGGGGAUGCGUCUGAUUAGCUUGUUGGCGGGGUAACGGCCCACCAAGGCGACGAUCAGUAGGGGUUCUGAGAGGAAGGUCCCCCACAUUGGAACUGAGACACGGUCCAAAACUCCUACGGGAGGCAGCAGUGAGGAAUAUUGGUCAAAUGGACGAGAGUCUGAACCAGCCAAGUAGCGUGCAGGAUGACGGCCCUAUGGGUUGUAAACUGCUUUUAUAAGGGAAUAAAGUGGGAGUCGUGACUCUUUUUGCAUGUACCUAUGAUAAG
rnacentral:rRNA from 1 species